rnacentral:sRNA from 1 species
CUAUUAGGUGAGGUUCCUGUUCGGAGAGAUGCUACUGCCCAGAAAUGUCGAGAGACGCCAAUGGGUCAACAGGAAAGAUCGGAGGAAGGUUUUUCCUAACGUAGCUGGUCGUGAUCGACCUAUGCCGUUCAGUGCCAAAGCUCAAU